ACCAAUUAAAACAUUUCCGGGUUUGAAUAACAACUUUAUUGUCCUGCUGUGGCUAGGGGGCAAGCUGGGCAAUAACUUAAACAAGGAAGAUCCUCCCUUGAAAAGCAAUGUGUUAUCGUUAGUGGUUCGUGGAGAUGGGAUAAUUUACACGGGACCCGACCCGCAGAUCCCUGUAGAUUGCAUUCGCACCCUGCCUGCCUGUAUCUCUGUACCCUCCUGCUGGCUUCUCAUGAGACUGCGGCGGAUCUGACCAAGAAUUAAAAAAAGGGAUGUGAAAGCGCACUCGGGGGUUGAGAUCAGCGCCGGGAUGAGGUUUAACGAAAAAGAGCUGCUUUGUAUCUCAAAGCAGCCGUCGGAAAAGGCGGCCGAGCUGGGAAUGAGAGGGCCGAAGAAGGGAGACGUGGUCAAGAGACGCCUGGUCAAGCUAGUGAUCAACUUCCUGUUCUACUUCCGGAUGGAUGAGGAGGAGCCAGCUGGUGCCCUGCUGCUGGAGCAGUGCAAGGUGGAGCAGGAGGAACCCACAGCCUUCUCAGUGGCCUUCCUAGACGAGUCGGAGAAGAAGUACCUGUUUGAGUGUGAGAGCAGCGAGCAGUGCCAGGAAUGGGUCGAGUCGCUCACCAGAGCCAGCUAUGAGUUCAUGAGAAGAAGUCUUAUAUUUUAUCGCAGUGAGAUUCACAAGCUAACAGGAAAGGUGCUGUGCUGAGCUCCAUAGUCGAGGGCCAUGGCAACUAGAGGCUCGGAACGUUAUCCUGGGGCUACCUUCUAGCCAGCCUCGGCCGAACUCAGAGAUCAGGGACACAAGGGGAUGCAGCUGAGCUAGGAAAAGGCCAUGGCUAUGUUAACAUUUACAAGACCCCCUGGAGCAGUACGGUAUAUCAGAGGAGGCUCGCUUCCAGGACAGCUCUCAGAGACCCUGAACCCCAAACCACUUUCAGAGCGGGGGGGGGGGGGGGGGGGCUGGCAAUUGGAACUGAUUUGAGUUGUUUUUCAUACUGAGAAUUCUGUAGUUUCUGAAUGUACUUUUUUUAACUCAAUUGUUGUGACUUUUGUACCAGUUUCAUGAGAAGAAUGGGGUAAUGCAUGGGGAAAAAGAAAAAAAGUAGUUUAGUCUUCUCUCCUCUCCACAGAUUUACUAGAACUCUAACUAAAAACACAUGAAUUAAAACUUCAUCUCCUUUAUGGUAGUAGCUGUGUGAAUUUAAAUAGUUUUGUUUUUAUGGCUUUUACAUUUUUUUUUGUAUGUCUCAGAUUUGCUUUAAUUAAUGUGAGUAAAACCUUAAAACUUCAAGCCCUACUUGUGUGUGUUCGGAUUUACUUUUUCCAAGAUACUUGUUUUAUUUCUUUUUAGCACUA